rnacentral:rRNA from 1 species
CCUACGGGAGGCAGCAGUGAGGAAUAUUGGUCAAUGGGCGCGAGCCUGAACCAGCCAAGUCGCGUGAGGGAAGACGGUCCUAUGGAUUGUAAACCUCUUUUGGCGGGGAGCAAAAGACGCCACGCGUGGCGUUCCGAGAGUACCCGAAGAAAAAGCAUCGGCUAACUCCGUGCCAGCAGCCGCGGUAAUACGGAGGAUGCGAGCGUUAUCCGGAUUUAUUGGGUUUAAAGGGUGCGCAGGCGGAAGAUCAAGUCAGCGGUAAAAUUGAGAGGCUCAACCUCUUCGAGCCGUUGAAACUGGUCUUCUUGAGUGAGUGAGAAGUAUGCGGAAUUCGUGGUGUAGCGGUGAAAUGCAUAGAUAUCACGCAGAACUCCGAUUGCGAAGGCAGCAUACCGGCGCUCAACUGACGCUCAUGCACGAAAGUGUGGGUAUCGAACAGGAUUAGAUACCCGGGUAGUC